UUGUAUAGGUUGGUGCAAAAGUAAUUGUGGUUUUGUCAUUACUUUAAUGGCAAAAACUGCAAUUACUUUUGCACCAACCUAAUACGUU
ensembl:miRNA